GGUCCGGGAGUGGGGGGUUUUACCCCGCCUGCCUGUCACGCAGGAGAUCGCGGGUUCGAUUCCCGUCGGGACCGCCA
rnacentral:tRNA from 1 species